rnacentral:rRNA from 1 species
CCUACGGGUGGCAGCAGUAGGGAAUAUUGCACAAUGAGCGAAAGCCUGACGCAGCGACGCCGCGUGCAGGAUGAAGGUCUUCGGAUCGUAAACCUCUGUCAGAAGGGAAGAACGGUCACUGUACGAAUCAGUAGUGAAUUGACGGUACCUUGAAAGGAAGCACCGGCUAACUCCGUGCCAGCAGCCGCGGUAAUACGGAGGGUGCGAGCGUUUAUCGGAAUUACUGGGCGUAAAGCGCUCGUAGGCGGUAUGUUAAGUCAAGGGUGAAAUCCCCGAGCUCAACGUCCGAAUCGCCUUUGAUACUGGCAAACUAGAGUUUGUGAGAGGAUAGUGGAAUUCCAUGUGUAGCAGUGAAAUCCGUAGAUAUCUGGAAGAACAUCAGUGGCGAAGGCGACUAUCUGGUACAUAACUGACGCUGAGGAGCGAAAGCGUGGGGAGCAAACAGGAUUAGAUACCCGAGUAGUC